rnacentral:rRNA from 1 species
CGAUCCUAAGACAUAGGGAAACUCCGUUUUAAAGCGCGCCCUCGUGCGCCGUUCGUCGAAAGGGAAGCCGGUUAACAUUCCGGCACCUGGAUGUGGAUUCUCCACGGCAACGUAACUGAACGCGGAGACGUCGGCGGGGGCCCUGGGAAGAGUUAUCUUUUCUUCUUGACGGCCUAUCACCCUGAAAUCGGUUUGUCCGGAGCUAGGGUUCAAUGGCCGGCAGAGCCCCGCACCUUUGCGGGGUCCGGUGCGCCCCCGACGACCCUUGAAAAUCCGCGGGAAGGAAUAGUUUUCACGCCAGGUCGUACUCAUAACCGCAGCAGGUCUCCAAGGUGAAAAGCCUCUAGUUGAUAGA